GGUUUUGGUGGAAAGAGUGCGGA
rnacentral:siRNA from 1 species